rnacentral:rRNA from 1 species
UGCAUGGCUGUCGUCAGCUCGUGUCGUGAGAUGUUGGGUUAAGUCCCGCAACGAGCGCAACCCUUGUCCCUAGUUGCUACGCAAGAGCACUCUAGGGAGACUGCCGGUGACAAACCGGAGGAAGGUGGGGAUGACGUCAAGUCCUCAUGGCCCUUAUGGGUAGGGCUUCACACGUCAUACAAUGGUCGGAACAGAGGGUCGCCAACCCGCGAGGGGGAGCCAAUCCCAGAAAACCGAUCGUAGUCCGGAUCGCACUCUGCAACUCGAGUGCGUGAAGCUGGAAUCGCUAGUAAUCGCGGAUCAGCAUGCCGCGGUGAAUACGUUCCC